GAUGAACGCUGGCGGCGUGCCUAAUACAUGCAAGUCGAGCGCACAGACGAGGUGCUUGUUUCUCUUACGUUAGCGGCGGACGGGUGAGUAACACGUGGAUAACCUACCUAUAAGACUGGGAUAACUUCGGGAAACCGGAGCUAAUACCGGAUAAUAUAUUUAACCACAUGGUUCAAUAUUGAAAGACGGUUUUGCUUUCACUUAUAGAUAGAUCCGCGCCUCAUUAGCUAGUUGUUAAGUUAACGGCUUACCAAGGCAACGAUUCGUAGCCGACCUGGGAGGGUGAUCGGCCAAACUGGAACUGAGACACGCUCCAGACUCCUACGGGAGGAAGCAGUAGGGAAUCUCCGGCAAUGGGCGAAGGCCUGACGGAGAAACGCGGCGUGAGUGAUGAAGGUCUUCGGAUCGUAAAACUCUGUUAUUAGGGAGGAACAAAGGUGUAAGUAAAUAUGCACGUAUUGACGGUACCUACUCAGAAAGCCACGGCUAACUACGUG
rnacentral:rRNA from 1 species